CACGAACGCUGGCGGCAGGCUUAACACAUGCAAGUCGAGCGCCCCGCAAGGGGAGCGGCAGACGCGUGAGUAACGCGUGGGAAGCUACCCAUCUCUACGGAAUAACGCAUGGAAACAAGUGCUAAUACCGUAUACGUUCUUCGGGAGAAAGAUUCAUCGGAGAUGGAUGAGCCCGCGUUGGAUUAGAGAGUUGGUGGGGUAAAGGCUUACCAAGGCGAGGAUCGAUAGGUGGUUUGAGAGAAGGUUCAGCCACACUGGGACUGAGACACGGCCAAGACUCCUACGGGAGGCAGCAGUGGGGAAUAUUGGACAAUGGGCGCAAGCCUGAUCCAGGCAUGCCGCGUGAGUGAUGAAGGUCCUAGGGUUGUAAAGCUCUUUCACCGGUGAAAAUAAUGACGGUAACCGGAGAAGAAGCCCCGGCUAACUUCGUGCCAGCAGCCGCCGUAAGAC
rnacentral:rRNA from 1 species